rnacentral:rRNA from 1 species
CAAUAGCGUAUAUUAACGUUGUUGCAGUUAAAAAGCUCGUAGUUGGAUUUCUGGAGGGAGCGUCGGCCCGUAUUUACGAGUGCGUGACGUCUCUGUCCAUCCUUGCGGGAGGGCACGGCAUUGAUUUGUUGUGUCGGAUCGCAUCAUUUACUGUGAAAAAAUUAGAGUGUUCAAAGCAGGCUUUCGCUUGAAUACAUUAGCAUGGAAUAAUAAGAUAGGACUUUGGUGCUAUUUUGUUGGUUGAGCCUAAAGUAAUGAUUAAUAGGGAUAGUUGGGGGCACCUGUAUUGCGUUGUCAGAGGUGAAAUUCUUGGAUUUACGCAAGACAAACAGCUGCGAAAGCGUCUGCCAAGGAUGUUUUCAUUAA